rnacentral:rRNA from 1 species
CCUAGGGCGGCUCCAGUGAGGAAUAUUGCACAAUGGGGGGAACCCUGAUGCAGCAACGCCGCGUGGAGGAUGACGCAUUUCGGUGUGUAAACUCCUUUUAUAUGUCAAGAAAAUGACGGUAGCAUAUGAAUAAGCACCGGCUAACUCCGUGCCAGCAGCCGCGGUAAUACGGAGGGUGCAAGCGUUACUCGGAAUCACUGGGCGUAAAGGACGCGUAGGCGGGUUGGAAAGUCAGGUGUGAAAUCCUACAGCUUAACUGUAGAACUGCACUUGAAACUUCUAAUCUAGAGUAUGGGAGGGGGAGAUGGAAUUAGUGGUGUAGGGGUAAAAUCCGUAGAUAUCACUAGGAAUACCUAAAGCGAAGGCGAUCUCCUGGAACAUUACUGACGCUAAGGCGUGAAAGCGUGGGGAGCAAACAGGAUUAGAUACCCCCGUAGUC